UACGAAGGGGGCUAGCGUUGUUCGGAAUUACUGGGCGUAAAGCGCGUGUAGGCGGGUCUUUAAGUCAGGGGUGAAAUGCCAAGGCUCAACCUUGGAACUGCCUUUGAUACUGGAGACCUUGAGUCCGGGAGAGGUGAGUGGAAUUGCGAGUGUAGAGGUGAAAUUCGUAGAUAUUCGCAAGAACACCAGUGGCGAAGGCGGCUCACUGGCCCAGAACUGACGCUGAGACGCGAAAGCGUGGGGAGCAAACAGG
rnacentral:rRNA from 1 species